AGUGAACGCUGGCGGCAGGCCUAACACAUGCAAGUCGAGCGGCAGCGCAGGGGCAACCUUCUCGGCCAGCGGCGGAGGGGCGAGGAAUUCGUCGGAACCUCCCUUUCUGCGGUGUCUUAGGUGGUAACGUUUGCGCACAUACCGUAUUCGUCCUACCGGCCUACGGGGGGGACCACAAGGCCUCCCGACCUAGGGUGAGUCUAUGAGCCGUUGCCUGGUUAGUGGGUUGGUGGGGUAACGGCCCACCAAGCCGACGCUCCGUAGCUGGUAUGAGAGGAUGAUCAGGCACACUGGAACUGAGACACGGUCCCGACUCCUACGGGAGGCAGCAGUGGGGAAUAUUGGACAAUGGGCGCAAGCCUGAUCCAGCCAUGCCGCGUGGGUGAAGAAGGCCUUCGGGUUGUAAAGCACUUUUGUUCGGAAAGAAAUGCAGGAAGAUAAUACCUCCCGGGGAUGACGGUACCAGAAGAAUAAGCACCGGCUAACUUCGUG
rnacentral:rRNA from 1 species